UCAAUCAUACAAUAUGUAUUUAUUAUAAGAUACAGUACUUGUGACAUGUGGACAAAUUAUUGUAUUUAAAAAAAUCUUAUAUAAUCACUACAUUGAACAAAUUACAAGGGUCGAGAGAAACGUAACAUUCACUAUUAUUAUGCCCAAAUGUGUGAUAAAUUAAUUGAGGUAGAUAACCCGCGCGCGGGUCCAAAUUAUAAUUUACAACUUUCGGAUUCCACCGUCGAGGGUCCAAGCAAAUAAGAAUGAUUUAAACAUUAUGCUAUAUAUAAUUAAAUAUCUACAAAUUGAAUAUAAUAAGUAGUGCACACUAUUCGGGAUACAGGCUCCACAUAGUACUUACUAUCGGAUCUCAAACAUUUACAAUAAAGGAGAACAUUCAUAUAAUAAACGCAACGCAUAUAGGAAACAUGUUGAGAGACAACUCGCGAACGCCACACUAGCCGCGCCCGGGCCGUUCCCGUGCCGGGCGCGGCGCCUCACUCCCCAGGCGCGAAGCAAAUUACCUCUGCUAUAAUACUUAGCAAUAAAUACUUAACUAUUUACAAUCAUCGCGAAGCCUGGCCGCAGUGGCGGCUAUUUGUCUACCAUUUUCUACAAUCUCAAGACUAAGUUGGCUAGUGGCGCCGCCUGCCGGCCGGCUCCCCUACUCUGUACACGCGUCGCUUCGCAGCCGUAAUGUGAUUCACGCCUUCACACACCCGUCCCCCCAGGAAAUAACGAAAUGCGUAUCAGUCACAGUCGGUUGAGGACAGCAUCGAUCGGUGGUCUUAGGCUGAGAUUUACACCGCAUUUUAACUUUGCUCAGACUUAAGACAUUGUUAAAACGAGACAGCGUUAUAUCGCUGACAUACGAGUAAGACAGGCUUCCGUUUGAACGGAAACUUAAGUCUGAGCAAAGUCAGAGUACGCUCUGUAGAUCUCAGCUUUAGUAUGAGAUUUUACAUCUCAUCAACGUUGAUUGAGUUCAAACAUCGACACACAAUAACAUCAGAGUGAAAUGGAUCUAAACCUCCUUGAUUUAAAAUUAAUAAUUCAAUACCACCGAUUUUAAUUUCGCACGGAUUCCGCUUGCUGUAGAUAUAUGAAUGAAUUUGAGUUUCAAAACAAGAGAGUUAAGGUCCAUUUUACUUAUAACGCAUAAGUGUUUCGAU